rnacentral:rRNA from 1 species
GACGAACGCUGGCGGCGUGCUUAACACAUGCAAGUCGAACGGUAAGGCCCUUCGGGGUACACGAGUGGCGAACGGGUGAGAAACACGUGGGUGAUCUGCCCUGCACUUCGGGAUAAGCCUGGGAAACUGGGUCUAAUACCGGAUAGGACCACUGCCUGCAUGGGUGGUGGUGGAAAGCUUUUGCGGUGUGGGAUGGGCCCGCGGCCUAUCGGCUUGUUGGUGGGGUGAUGGCCUACCAAGGCGCCGACGGGUAGCCGGCCUGAGAGGGUGACCGGCCACACUGGGACAGAGAUGCGGCGCGGACUCCUGCGGGAGGCAGGAGAGGGGAAUAUUGCACAAUGGGCGCAAGCCUGAUGCAGCGACGCCGGGUGAGGGAUGACGGCCUUCGGGUUGUAAUGCUCGUUCAGCACCGACGAAGCGCAAGUGACGGUAGGUGCAGAAGAAGGACCGGCCAACUACGUGCCAGCCGCCGCAGUAA